UACAGAGGGUGCGAGCGUUAAUCGGAAUUACUGGGCGUAAAGCGUGCGCAGGCGGUUUUGUAAGUCAGAUGUGAAAUCCCCGGGCUUAACCUGGGAACUGCGUUUGAAACUACAAGGCUAGAGUGUGGCAGAGGGGGGUGGAAUUCUACAUGUAGCGGUGAAAUGCAUAGAUAUGUAGAGGAACACCGAUAACGAAGGUAACUCACUAGGCUAUUACUGACGCUGAGGUACGAAAGCGUGGGGAGCAAACAGG
rnacentral:rRNA from 1 species